AUACGUUGGGGGCGAGCGUUGUCCGGAAUGACUGGGCGUAAAGGGCGCGUAGGCGGUUUUUUAAGUUAGGCGUGAAAGGCCGGCUUUUAAGGUAGGAAUUGCUUUUAAUACUGGAGAACUUGAGUGCGGACGAGGUAAGUGGGAUUCCCAGUGUAGCGGUGAAAUGCGUAGAGAUUGGGAGGAACACCAGUGGCGAAGGCGGCUUACUGGGCCGUAACUGACGCUGAGGCGCGAAAGCGUGGGGAGCGAACAGGAUUAGAUACCCUGGUAGUCCACGCUGUAAACGAUGAAUGCUAGGUGUAGGGGGUAUCGACCCCUUCUGUGCCGGAGUAAACGCAAUAAGCAUUCCGCCUGGGGAGUACGGCCGCAAGGUUGAAACUCAAAUGAAUUGACGGGG
rnacentral:rRNA from 1 species